GGCUGGUCCAAUGAUAGUGGGUUAUCAGAACUUAUUAACAUUAGUCACUAAAUUUGGUAGACAAUCCCCCCUGCUAAAUUUGACUGGCUAAAU
rnacentral:Y_RNA from 1 species